rnacentral:rRNA from 1 species
GAUGAACGCUGGCGGCGUGCCUAAUACAUGCGAGUCGAGCGAACAGACGAGGAGCUUGCUCCUCUGACGUUAGCGGCGGACGGGUGAGUAACACGUGGAUAACCUACCUAUAAGACUGGGAUAACUUCGGGAAACCGGAGCUAAUACCGGAUAAUAUAUUGAACCGCAUGGUUCAAUAGUGAAAGACGGUUUUGCUGUCACUUAUAGAUGGAUCCGCGCCGCAUUAGCUAGUUGGUAAGGUAACGGCUUACCAAGGCGACGAUGCGUAGCCGACCUGAGAGGGUGAUCGGCCACACUGGAACUGAGACACGGUCCAGACUCCUACGGGAGGCAGCAGUAGGGAAUCUUCCGCAAUGGGCGAAAGCCUGACGGAGCAACGCCGCGUGAGUGAUGAAGGUCUUCGGAUCCUAAAACUCUGUUAUUAGGGAAGAACAAAUGUGUAAGUACCUAUGCACGUCUUGACGGUACCUAAUCAGAAAGCCACGGCUAACUACGUG